UACGGGGGGAGCAAGCGUUGUUCGGAUUUACUGGGCGUAAAGGGCGCGUAGGCGGCCAGCACAAGUCAGUUGUGAAAUCUCCGGGCUUAACUCGGAAAGGUCAACUGAUACUGUGCGGCUAGAGUGCAGAAGGGGGCAACUGGAAUUCUCGGUGUAGCGGUGAAAUGCGUAGAUAUCGAGAGGAACACCUGCGGCGAAGGCGGGUUGCUGGGCUGACACUGACGCUGAUGCGCGAAAGCCAGGGGAGCGAACGGG
rnacentral:rRNA from 1 species